rnacentral:rRNA from 1 species
AUCGAACGCUGGCGGCAGGCCUAAUACAUGCAAGUCGAACGAAUGGAGGACGGGUGAGCAAUGUAUGGGCAACUGCCCGAUGUAGCGGGAUAACUGCUGGAACCGGUAGCUAAUGCUGCAUACCAUCGGAUGUGUCCCGGUGGGAUUAGCUAGUAGCUGGGGUAACGGUUCCUCUAGGCGACGCUGCCUAGCUGGUCUGCGAGGGUGACCGGCCACACUGGAACGGAGACACGGUCCAGACUCCUACGGGAGGCAGCAGUGGGGAAUAUUGCACAAUGGGCGAAAGCCUGAUGGAGCCAUGCCGCGUGAAUGAAGAAGGCCUUCGGGUUGUAAAGUUCUUUCAUCGAGGAGGCGGUACUCGCAGAGGAAGUACCGGCUAACUCCGUGCCAGCAGCCGCGGUAAUAC